UACGUAGGGUGCAAGCGUUGUCCGGAAUUAUUGGGCGUAAAGAGCUCGUAGGUGGUUUGUCGCGUCUGCUGUGAAAUCCUUCCGCUCAACGGGAGGCUUGCAGUGGGUACAGGCAGACUAGAGUGCAGUAGAGGAGUCUGGAAUUCCUGGUGUAGCGGUGGAAUGCGCAGAUAUCAGGAGGAACACCGGUGGCGAAGGCGGGACUCUGGGCUGUUACUGACGCUGAGGAGCGAAAGCAUGGGGAGCGAAC
rnacentral:rRNA from 1 species